AAAGUAAAAAUUGUAAAAAUAUACUCAUGGUGUAGGGUAUCAUAUGGUCGGCCAUGCCCGACUAUACUUUCCUACUUGUCACAAAUAGAAAAAUGUAAAUCUGCAGCAAGUAUUUUUAAAAUUUGGCCAGAAUACACUAAUGCCAAUGGGAUUCGUAUGUUUGACAUUGACUUCACUAUUAAGUAUCCAAACUGUGAAAAUAUUCACGAAAACUGGGCUUUAAAAUCUAAUAAAAUUGAGACUUUAUUGAAGAAGAAGAUUUCAAGGAAAAAGCUUAAAUGGAUUCAAUUUAAAUUCUUUAAAUGAAGAUACUAGAGAGAAUACCCGGGAUAUUAUAUUGCUAAUGAAUCUUCAUCAGUUGCUGUUAUCACCAAAUAAAUGUGGAGGAAAACAAUCCAGAAAAUUUAGUGUUGAAGAUUCCUUGGGAGCAUUUGCUAUUUUUGGAAAAACUAACGAAGAAGUUGAAGAUAAACUCCGCCAUAUAAGUGAGUCAAAACAGUUCCUACAACCACGUAUCUUAAUUAUAGGUGAUAUAAAUAUGAUUAAGAGUAUUUUCGUUUAUGUUGACGGUUUUCGUUUUAAAACGAUGUACAUAAUACAUGCAGUUGAUAUAUGCUUUAAAAUAUUUUUCGUUUUUAAUUUAAAAUAUCCGGAAGAAGCCAAUCUUUUCUGGAUUUUUAUUGAACACUUUUUUUAUAAAUUAAAACAUUCUAAAGCUAACAUUAAAGUUUCAACAUUGUGUAAUGAAU